rnacentral:rRNA from 10 species
GUCUACGGCCAUACCACCCUGAACGCGCCCGAUCUCGUCUGAUCUCGGAAGCUAAGCAGGGUCGGGCCUGGUUAGUACUUGGAUGGGAGAUUCCCCCUGGGAAUACCGGGUGCUGUAGCUU